UCCGGUUGAUCCCGCCGGACCUGACUGCUAUCGGAUUGAUACUAAGCCAUGCUAGUCUUUGUAGUAAUACAAGGCAUACGGCUCAGUAACGCGUAGUCAACCUACCCUAUGGACGGGGAUAAUCUCGGGAAACUGAGCAUAAUACCCGGCAGACCACUUAUCCUGGAAUGGUUAGUGGUUAAAAUGAUUCGUCGCCAUAGGAUGGGACUGCGGCCUAUCAGCUUGUUGGUGAGGUAAUGGCCCACCAAGGCGAUUACAGGUACGGGCUCUGAGAGGAGAGGCCCGGAGAUGGGUACUGAGACAAGGACCCAGGCCCUAUGGGGCGCAGCAGGCGAGAAAACUUUGCAAUGUGCGAAAGCACGACAAGGUUAAUCCGAGUGAUUUCUGCUAAAGGAAUCUUUUGUUAGUUCUAAAAAUACUAGUGAAUAAGGGGUGGGCAAGUUCUGGUGUCAGCCGCCGCGGUAAAACCAGCACCUCAAGUGGUCAGGAGGAUUAUUGGGCCUAAAGCAUCCGUAGCCUGUUCUAUAAGUUUGCGGUUAAAUCUAUACGCUCAACGUAUAGGCUGCCGUAAAUACUGUAGAACUAGGGAGUGGGAGAGGUAGACGGUACUCGAUAGGAAGGGGUAAAAUCCUUUGAUCUAUUGAUGACCACCUGUGGCGAAGGCGGUCUACCAGAACACGUUCGACGGUGAGGGAUGAAAGCUGGGGGAGCAAACCGGAUUAGAUACCCGGGUAGUCCCAGCUGUAAACGAUGCAGACUCGAUGAUGCAAUGGCAUAGAGCUAUUGCAGUAUCGCAGGGAAGCCGUUAAGUUUGCCGCCUGGGAAGUACGUACGCAAGUAUGAAACUUAAAGGAAUUGGCGGGGGAGCACCACAAGGGGUGAAGCCUGCGGUUCAAUUGGAGUCAACGCCGGA
rnacentral:rRNA from 1 species